UACGGGAGGCAGCAGUGGGGAAUAUUGCACAAUGGGCGAAAGCCUGAUGCAGCUAUGCCGCGUGUAUGAAGAAGGCCUUAGGGUUGUAAAGUACUUUCAUCGGGGAGGAAAAAACAAAACUAAUAAUUUUAUUUCUUGACGUUACCCGAAAAAGAAGCACCGGCUAACUCCGUGCCAGCAGCCGCGGUAAUACGGAGGGUGCUAGCGUUAAUCAGAAUUACUGGGCGUAAAGAGCACGUAGGUGGUUUUUUUAAAGUCAGAUGUGAAUCCCUGGGCUUAACCUAGGAACUGCAUUUUGAAACUGAAAUACUAGAGUAUCGUAGAGGGAGGUAGAAUUCUAGGUGUAGCGGUGAAAUGCGUAGAUAUCUGGAGGAAUACCUGUGGCGAAAGCGGCCUCCUAAACGAAUACUGACACUGAGGUGCGAAAGCGUGGGGAGCAAACGAGGAUUAGAUACCCGU
rnacentral:rRNA from 1 species